AUCUCAUCUAUGUACACACAAUUACUAAGGGGUUUCUAUAUUACUGCUUCCGAAUCCUAAGAGAUGAGGUAAUAAGCAGAAAGUCUUUUGACUUGCCACUUCCCUUAUAGCUCAAAUUAAAAUCCAAAAGAAUUACCACAACUUGAGAAGCAUUCUCCGUUGAAAUAUUGAUUAGAAAAGUAUGCCUACAGUAAGCAAACAGAAUGAAGGGCCCAUGUAUACCAUUUUCUCGAGGAUAGACUUGAGGCAGAGACAGCUUUAAUUUCGCAACCCUUAAGCGGAAAACUUGUCUGGGAACCAUCUGUGCUGGUCAAAAUAAGAGCUCGAUGCUUUAUUUUUGCAUACUUGCGAACGGGAUAAACCUCCAAGAACUCCUUUUUUUUCUUUUGCUCUUUCGAAAAUUUUUCUUUUGGUACUUUUUCUGGUUCCAAAACCCAAACGUAUCCCUGAGAAGCACAGAAAUAAGCUAGCACAUUAAAAAAAACAAAAAGCCUACUUUAAACUGCCAUAUUUCUCCAGCAUAAUCUCCUUUAACUAAUUUCAACAAUUUUUUUAUUUUCACCUGUCUAUUAUUUAUUUUCAUGUCGCAUCAGUCUGUACACAUAAAAUUUGAAUAAGAAUUUGUAACACAAUAUCACUAAGAACGAUAAAUAAAUAAAAUGCUGAAAAUUUCCUGAAAAAUUCAAUUAAUUUACCGAGCAAAAUUAGUUCAAAUUGAAGAAUCAU
rnacentral:lncRNA from 1 species